GCAGUCGAGCGGAGAUGAGGUGCUUGCACCUUAUCUUAGCGGCGGACGGGUGAGUAAUGCUUAGGAAUCUGCCUAUUAGUGGGGGACAACAUUCCGAAAGGAAUGCUAAUACCGCAUACGCCCUACGGGGGAAAGCAGGGGAUCUUCGGACCUUGCGCUAAUAGAUGAGCCUAAGUCGGAUUAGCUAGUUGGUGGGGUAAAGGCCUACCAAGGCGACGAUCUGUAGCGGGUCUGAGAGGAUGAUCCGCCACACUGGGACUGAGACACGGCCCAGACUCCUACGGGAGGCAGCAGUGGGGAAUAUUGGACAAUGGGCGGAAGCCUGAUCCAGCCAUGCCGCGUGUGUGAAGAAGGCCUUUUGGUUGUAAAGCACUUUAAGCGAGGAGGAGGCUACUUAGAUUAAUACUCUAGGAUAGUGGACGUUACUCGCAGAAUAAGCACCGGCUAACUCUGUGCCAGCAGCCGCGGUAAUACAGAGGGUGCGAGCGUUAAUCGGAUUUACUGGGCGUAAAGCGUGCGUAGGCGGCUGAUUAAGUCGGAUGUGAAAUCCCUGAGCUUAACUUAGGAAUUGCAUUCGAUACUGGUCAGCUAGAGUAUGGGAGAGGAUGGUAGAAUUCCAGGUGUAGCGGUGAAAUGCGUAGAGAUCUGGAGGAAUACCGAUGGCGAAGGCAGCCAUCUGGGCCUAAUACUGACGCUGAGGUACGAAAGCAUGGGGGAGCAAACAGGAUUAGAUACCCUGGUAGUCCAUGCCGUAAACGAUGUCUACUAGC
rnacentral:rRNA from 1 species